GUUUUUAUUCCGUCAUGAUAAAUAAUUUAUUGAUAGUAACUGUUCAUCCAAAGAAAACGAAUUGUUUUUGUAUGUCUUCAUCUUUUCUUCAUAUCACCAAUAUUUCGUAACCAAACAAACAUAAUGGUACACCUCGAACGAUUCUGCAGCUCUGUAUUUAUCCUCAUCUGCUAAUUCCCGGGACAUGGAAUUCUACAGGAUUUCAAUCAAUUUCCCCACAAGUGUGAUAACGAUGGACAUAUCGUUCGCUGAGGAGAGUUUCCAGUGCUCAGAUCUGUACCAAUAAAAGCAACCCAGAAAAUAUACGAGUGUGGUCGGCUGUAGUUUUAACGUACAUGAUAAAAUGUGUACUUCAGCAAUUCCCACAAAGGAUUCGGUAAAAUUUAUGACAACCAGGGAAGUCGAGACAAUUUUCAAACCGAAAAUUGCAAGGAAUCGAACCCAGCCACCCUCAGAAUGGUCUUGCUUUAUAGCCGCACAUCUUACCACGGCUAAGGAGGCCCCCCGUUUCGUUUGUUAGUUCAGUUGGAAGAGACUGCCCACACAAAAAAGCGUGCGUGAAUUGAACCAGCAAAACUACACAAUGAUUUAAACACGAAAUCGGAAAUACCAAUAACGUUUUCUAUAACGUUAGAGAAAACUGGAGGAUAAAUCGAGUAAAGGCGAUAUUGUGCUUAGAAAACUUUGAAAUUAAUACGAAGGAACUUAUCAAAGUAGCCAAGAUAUGCAUCGAGAACACAUCGAGCUACGGAACUAGUACUACGUUUGAUUGUAUAUGUGGGUUCAAUCACUGGAUCGUCAUGUAACCCCGAACCCCCUUUUUAAAAGCACGUGAUUCUUGGUUCCUUAUAGCCUCAUUAUUGGUACGGAAAAUGGAGAGUGUUCAAUCUUUCAAAAAAUAUGAAAUAAAUAUAA